rnacentral:rRNA from 1 species
AUUGAACGCUGGCGGCAUGCUUUACACAUGCAAGUCGAACGGUAACAGGCCUUCGGGUGCUGACGAGUGGCGAACGGGUGAGUAAUGCAUCGGAACGUACCCAGAGGUGGGGGAUAACGCAGCGAAAGCUGUGCUAAUACCGCAUGUGAUCUGAGGAUGAAAGCGGGGGACCGAGCAGCAAUGUUUGGCCUCGCGCCUUUGGAGCGGCCGAUGUCGGAUUAGCUAGUUGGUGGGGUAAAGGCCUACCAAGGCGACGAUCCGUAGCUGGUCUGAGAGGACGACCAGCCACACUGGGACUGAGACACGGCCCAGACUCCUACGGGAGGCAGCAGUGGGGAAUUUUGGACAUUGGGCGCAAGCCUGAUCCAGCAAUGCCGCGUGCGGGAAGAAGGCCUUCGGGUUGUAAACCGCUUUUGGCAGGAACGAAACGGUGUCCGCUAAUACCGGGCGCUAAUGACGGUACCUGCAGAAUAAGCACCGGCUAACUACGUG